rnacentral:tRNA from 1 species
GGAGAGUUGGCCGAGUUGGUCUAAGGCGCACGAUUCGAAAUCGUGUGAGGGUGAAACCUCCGAGGGUUCGAAUCCCUUGCUCUCCG